UACGAAGGGUGCAAGCGUUACUCGGAAUUACUGGGCGUAAAGCGCGCGUAGGCGGUUUGUUAAGUCUGUUGUGAAAGCCCCGGGCUCAACCUGGGAAUGGCAAUGGAUACUGGCAAGCUAGAGUGCGGUAGAGGGUAGUGGAAUUCCCGGUGUAGCGGUGAAAUGCGUAGAGAUCGGGAGGAACACCAGUGGCGAAGGCGGCUACCUGGACCAGCACUGACACUGAGGCACGAAAGCGUGGGGAGCAAACAGG
rnacentral:rRNA from 1 species